rnacentral:lncRNA from 1 species
CACAGGUACCACUAGAAAGAGCAAGCAAGUGGUGGAGAAGUUGAAGAGAAAGAGAAACAGAAGGAUGUGGGCAGAAUGAAGAGAGGCAAAACCAGAGACACGAGGGUAGUGAGGACCAACUUGAUGAAAUGCAGGAACAAAAUUGGAGCAGAGACUGAAGGAAAGGCCAUUCAGAGACCUCCCCACCUUGGGAUCCAUCCCAUGCACAGGUACCAAACCUCAACACUAUUGCUGAUGCCAUGUGGUACUUGUAGCCAGGAGCUUAGCAUGGCUAUCUUCUGAGAGGCUCUACCAGCACCUGACUGAGAAAGAUGCAGAUAUUUACAGCCAACCAUUGGACUGAACCUGGGGACCCCUACGGAAGACUUAGGGGAAUAACUGAGGAGCUUAAGGGGAUUGCAACUCCACUGUAACAACAGGAUCAACUUACCAGACCCCUCAGAGUUCCCAGAGACUAAGAACAUACAUGGGAUGGCCUGUGGCUCCCACUACAUACGUAGCAGGGGACUGCCUUGUCUGGCACAGUGGGAGGGGAUGAGUUUGGUCCUGUGGAAGCUUGAAGCCCAAGAGAAGGGGAAUGAUAGAGGUGAGGUGUGAGUGGGUAGGUGGGUAGGGGAGCACCCUCUUAGAGGUGAAGGGGAGAGUGGAUGUGGUGGGAGGCACAUGGAGGGACUGGGAAGGUGGACAACA